rnacentral:rRNA from 1 species
UAUUUAUUUAAUUAUUUUUUUUUAUUUUAUAUUUAAUUUUUUAUAAAAAUAAUUUAUUUAUUUUUUGUUUUAGUAUUAUUUAAAAUUAAUUAUUAUUAUUAUAGUUUAUUAGUAUUGUGAAAGAAAUUAAUUUAAAUUUUUAAAAGAAUAUUUUUAGUACCUUUUGUAUCAGGGUUAAUUAAAAUAAAUAAUUUAUUUAUUGUUUUCUCAAAAUUUUCAGAGUUAAAUUUAUUAUUAAUAGUUAUUGUUUUAUAAAUAUUUUAAAAAUAGAUUUAGUUUUAAUAUUUAAUUCGUUGAAAAAUAUUUAGUUAUUUAAGAUUUAAAUUUAAUUUAUAAUUAUAAUAGUUAAUAUUAAUUUAUAUUAUUUAUAUUUUAAAAUUAAAUUAUUUUAGGGAUAAGCUUAAAAUUUAAAUAAAAUUUUGUUUUAGUUUAAUAAUUUAUAGGAAUAGAAAUUUUUAUUUUAAGUUUGUAAAAAUUUAUUAUUAUUUAUUAUUAAAAUUUAUUAUAUAAAUUUAUUUUUUAUAUUAAAUUUUUUAAAUUAAUUAUUAAUUUAUAGUAAUAAUGAUUAAAUUAGUAUAAUUUUUAUUUAUAAAUUAUGAAUUCGGCAAAUUUUAUUUUCAUCUGUUUAACAAAAACAUUGUAUUAAGUUUUAUUUAAUAUAGGAUCUGCUCAAUGAUUUUAAUUAAAUAGCUGCAGUAUUUUGACUGUGCAAAGGUAGCAUAAUAAUUAGUCUUUUAAUUGGGGACUUGAAUGAAAGAUUUGAUGAGAAAUAAACUUUAUUAUUUAUAAAAUUAAAAUUUUAUUUUUAAGUAAAAAAGCUUAAAUUUUUUAAAGGGACGAUAAGACCCUAUAAAACUUUAUAAUUAUAUUUUUUUAUUUUAUUUGUAAAUUUAUUAAAUUUUAAAUUUAUAAUUAUUUUAUUGGGGUGAUAAAAAAAUAUUAAUAACUUUUUUUAAAAUUUUACAUUAAUUAAUGAUUUUUUGAAUUAAAAUUUUUAAUUGAAGGAAAAAGUUACUUUAGGGAUAACAGCGUAAUUAAUUUUUUAAGUUCAAAUUUAAAAAUUAGUUUGCGACCUCGAUGUUGAAUUAAGAAUAUUUUUAGGUGCAAAAUUUUAAAAUUUAGGUCUGUUCGACCUUUAAAUUCUUACAUGAUUUGAGUUCAAACCGGUGUAAGCCAGGUUGGUUCCUAUCUUUUAAUAGUUAAUUUAUUUUAGUACGAAAGGAUUAAAUAAUUAAAUUAAAUUUUUUUUUUUGAAUCAAAUUAAAAAUA